GGGCCCGCACAAGCAGUGGAGCAUGUGGUUUAAUUCGAUGCAACGCGAAGAACCUUACCAGCCUUUGACAUCCUGGUCGCGGUUAGAGGAGACUCUUACCUUCAGUUCGGCUGGACCAGUGACAGGUGCUGCAUGGCUGUCGUCAGCUCGUGUCGUGAGAUGUUGGGUUAAGUCCCGCAACGAGCGCAACCCUCGUCCUUAGUUGCUACCAUUUAGUUGGGCACUUUAAGGAAACUGCCGGUGAUAAGCCGGAGGAAGGUGGGGAUGACGUCAAGUCCUCAUGGCCCUUACAGGCUGGGCUACACACGUGCUACAAUGGCGAUGACAGUGGGCAGCGACCCCGCAAGGGUGAGCUAAUCUCCAAAAGUCGUCUCAGUUCGGAUUGUCCUCUGCAACUCGAGGGCAUG
rnacentral:rRNA from 1 species